CAGCAGUGGGGAAUAUUGCACAAUGGGGGAAACCCUGAUGCAGCGACGCCGCGUGGAGGAAGAAGGUCUUCGGAUUGUAAACUCCUGUUGUUGAGGAAGAUAAUGACGGUACUCAACAAGGAAGUGACGGCUAACUACGUGCCAGCAGCCGCGGUAAAACGUAGGUCACAAGCGUUGUCCGGAAUUACUGGGUGUAAAGGGAGCGCAGGCGGGAGAACAAGUUGGAAGUGAAAUCCAUGGGCUCAACCCAUGAACUGCUUUCAAAACUGUUUUUCUUGAGUAGUGCAGAGGUAGGCGGAAUUCCCGGUGUAGCGGUGGAAUGCGUAGAUAUCGGGAGGAACACCAGUGGCGAAGGCGGCCUACUGGGCACCAACUGACGCUGAGGCUCGAAAGUGUGGGUAGCAAACAGGAUUAGAUACCCUGGUAGUCCACACCGUAAACGAUGAUUACUAGGUGUUGGAGGAUUGACCCCUUCAGUGCCGCAGUUAACACAAUAAGUAAUCCACCUGGGGAGUACGACCGCAAGGUUGAAACUCAAAGGAAUUGACGGGGGCCCGCACAAGCAGUGGAGUAUGUGGUUUAAUUCGACGCAACGCGAAGAACCUUACCAAGUCUUGACAUCCCUUGACGAACAUAGAAAUAUGUUUUCUCUUCGGAGCAAGGAGACAGGUGGUGCAUGGUUGUCGUCAGCUCGUGUCGUGAGAUGUUGGGUUAAGUCCCGCAACGAGCGCAACCCUUAUGGUCAGUUACUACGCAAGAGGACUCUGGCCAGACUGCCGUUGACAAAACGGAGGAAGGUGGGGAUGACGUCAAAUCAUCAUGCCCUUUAUGACCUGGGCUACACACGUACUACAAUGGCGUUUAACAAAGAGAAGCAAGACCGCGAGGUGGAGCAAAACUCAAAAACAACGUCUCAGUUCAGAUUGCAGGCUGCAACUCGCCUGCAUGAAGUCGGAAUUGCUAGUAAUCGCGGAUCAGCAUGCCGCGGUGAAUACGUUCCCGGGCCUUGUACACACCGCCCGUCACACCAUGAGAGUCGGGAACACCCGAAGUCCGUAGCCUAACCUGAAAAGGAGGGCGCGGCCGAAGGUGGGUUCGAUAAUUGGGGUGAAGUCGUAACAAGGUAGCCGUUCGAGAACGAGCGGCUG
rnacentral:rRNA from 1 species